UGGGGAAUUUUGGACAAUGGGGGCAACCCUGAUCCAGCAAUGCCGCGUGUGUGAAGAAGGCCUUCGGGUUGUAAAGCACUUUUGUCCGGAAAGAAAACGCCGUGGUUAAUACCCGUGGCGGAUGACGGUACCGGAAGAAUAAGCACCGGCUAACUACGUGCCAGCAGCCGCGGUAAUACGUAGGGUGCAAGCGUUAAUCGGAAUUACUGGGCGUAAAGCGUGCGCAGGCGGUCCGCUAAGACAGAUGUGAAAUCCCCGGGCUUAACCUGGGAACUGCAUUUGUGACUGGCGGGCUAGAGUAUGGCAGAGGGGGGUAGAAUUCCACGUGUAGCAGUGAAAUGCGUAGAGAUGUGGAGGAAUACCGAUGGCGAAGGCAGCCCCCUGGGCCAAUACUGACGCUCAUGCACGAAAGCGUGGGGAGCAAACAGGAUUCAGAUACCCUGGUAGUCCACGCCCUAAACGAUGUCAAC
rnacentral:rRNA from 1 species